CUUAACGAGAUUUGAUGCAUG
rnacentral:siRNA from 1 species